UGGGUGUCCUAUUACGCAUGAAUCUAUCUCCUAAACUUGUCGACUAACCGGUCAUCUCCAUACCACGUCCGGUAUGAAUACCAAAAAUAUCAUUCAUCGAUACCCCAUAUAGUAUGAGGGUGAAUCAGUCCGUCUCUAUACACCGUCCGGUAUGAGUACAAAAAAUAUCAUCCCUUGAUACCCCGUCCGAUAUGAGGUAACGUUCACAGUAGGGUUUCCUAUGUAGCCGGUUCGUCCACCAUCUCUCAAAAAUCUAGUAAGAUAAUUGUUCAUUAAU
rnacentral:lncRNA from 1 species